CUUUAACAAUCCGGAACAAGCUGAAAAUUGAAACGACGCGUCGUUUUCAUUCUCCGUAAUAAGAAUGAAAUCACGAUGCGUUCGAGUCUCUCAAAUGCUUACAGUCCCGAGCGUUGCAAAACGCCUGUG
rnacentral:sRNA from 1 species